GUUUUAGAGUAAAGUUUUUCGCUUCAAGAGAGGUCUGCGUCCUAUCAGCUAGUUGGUGAGGUAAUGGCUCACCAAGGCUAAGACGGGUAGCUGGUGUGAGAGCACGGUCAGCCACCGCGGAACUGAGACACGGUCCGCACUCCUACGGGAGGCAGCAAUUAGGAAUCUUGCGCAAUGGGGGCAACCCUGACGCAGCGACACAGCGUGGAGGAUGAAGGUCUUCGGAUUGUAAACUCCUUUUAUAUGGGAAGAAUAAAUGACUGUACCAUAUGAAUAAGUACCUGCUAACUACGUGCCAGAAGCAUCGGUGAUGCGUAGGGU
rnacentral:rRNA from 1 species